rnacentral:lncRNA from 1 species
AAAUUCUCAGCUCCUCCUACACCAAGCCUGCCUGGAUGCUGCCAUGUUGCUGCUCUGAUGAUAAUGAACUGAACCUGCUCGAAGACUUAACAAGGCCAAGUAACCAUCGGUUGACACCUCAAAGAAACAGGAGCUCUGGAAUUGAUUUUCCCACUUUUUAAGAGACCUCUGAAAUGGGCUAUAGAGACAGUUUGGAGAACUUCUGCUGAACCCAUGGAGGAUGGAUGUCCCGAGGAAGAGAAGCGGAGGCUCAUUGUCCCUUCCAUCUACUCGAUCCUUUGCAUCUCUCCUACCCAACCCUUCAUCUGCAUGCCUCAGUACUACUCAGGGCUGAGGACCUGAGUCAGUUUCCAGGCUCAUGUAAGGCUUUGGCUUCAAUGAAACAAAAUAAAGUAAAA